UCCUCAACUUUCUCCGCGGCCUUAAUUUCUUGUUGAUCAUUUUUACGAAAUUCAUAACCAAGACGGAUGGCGCUUACGUAGUGAACGAAUUCGUAUUAUGCCAUUGGAAAAAGCUAAUUCAAAAGCCUAAUGAGUUAUCUUAGUAACCAAAUGUUGUAGGGUUAUGUGGUUGUUUCGAGAAAGUAGUCAGUGUUGAGGAUUGUUGGGAGAGGAGGGAAUCCCACAUUGGCUAAUUUAGGAAAUGAUCAUAGGUUUAUGAGUGAGGAAUACAUUUCCAUUGGGAUGAGGCCUUUUGGGGAAGCC